CCUAGUAACUGCGAGUGAAGCGGGAAAAGCUCAAAUUUAAAAUCUGGUGGUCUCUGGCCAUCCGAGUUGUAAUCUAGAGAAGUGUUACCCGCGUUGGACCGUGUACAAGUCUCCUGGAAUGGAGCGUCAUAGAGGGUGAGAAUCCCGUCUUUGACACGGACUACCAAGGCUUUGUGGUGCGCUCUCAACGAGUCGAGUUGUUUGGGAAUGCAGCUCAAAAUGGGUGGUAAAUUCCAUCUAAAGCUAAAUACAGGCGAGAGACCGAUAGCGAACAAGUACCGUGAGGGAAAGAUGAAAAGAACUUUGGAAAGAGAGUUAAACAGUACGUGAAAUUGCUGAAAGGGAAACGCUGGAAGUCAGUCGCGUUGGCUAGGAAUCAACCUUACUUUUUGUGGGGCUUACUUCUUAGUUGACGGGCCAACAUCAAUUUUGAUUGCUGGAAAAAGACUUAGGGAAUGUGGCACCUUCGGGUGUGUUAUAGCCCUAGGUUGUAUACAGUGAUUGGGAUUGAGGAACGCAGCAUGCCGAAAGGUUGGGUUUCGACCACACUCAUGCUUCGGAUGUUGGCAUAAUGGCUUUCAUCGACCCGUCUUGAAACACGGACCAAGGAGUCUAACAUGCCUGCGAGUGUUUGAGUGGAAAACUCGAGCGCAUAAUGAAAGUAAUAGUUGAGAUCUCUGUCAUGGAGAGCAUCGACGCCCGGACCUGAUGUUUACUGACGGUUCUGCGGUAGAGCAUGUAUGUUGGGACCCGAAAGAUGGUGAACUAUGCCUGAAUAGGGUGAAGCCAGAGGAAACUCUGGUGGAGGCUCGUAGCGAUUCUGACGUGCAA
rnacentral:rRNA from 1 species